rnacentral:rRNA from 1 species
UGCACCUACGGUACGCAGCAGUUUUUUCUCUUGCACCCUUGCUUAAACUCUGAUGCAGCGACGCCGCGUGAGGGAAGACGGUCUUCGGAUUGUAAACCUCUGUCUUUGGGGAAGAAAAUGACGGUACCCAAAGAGGAAGCUCCGGCUAACUACGUGCCAGCAGCCGCGGUAAUACGUAGGGAGCGAGCGUUGUCCGGAAUUACUGGGUGUAAAGGGAGCAUAGGCGGGCGAGAAAGUUGAAUGUUAAAUCUACCGGCUUAACUGGUAGCUGCGUUCAAAACUUCUUGUCUUGAGUGAAGUAGAGG